rnacentral:lncRNA from 1 species
AUCAAUCAAUUAAUUAUGUUUGGUUUUUUUCUUUUUGGAUAAGUAAAAUGCAAAAACAAAAUAAGGAAGGAAGAAGUAACUAAAGUUGUUUGUAUCGUGGGAACAGCAAGUGUACAUGUACUUCAGGGGGAGCGGUAAAGCAGCAGAGAUGAAGCAGGAGGCAACAAGACGAGCAAUGAUGGCAGCUCUCUGACCACACACCUUUGAGUCUUAACCCUGAAGAUAACAUACAAACAGAUCCUUUCCUUUUUCAAUCUUUUUUUUAACUUUAUUUAACUAAGCGGGGUUUAUUGGCUUUUGUAUUUUAAUGGAUUUGAAAAUCCGAACUAAAAUGUAACCAAAACUUUUGAUUUCUUUUUUAACCGUAUUCUGAUUACUUUAUUUAAAGAACCCCAAAAUUCUGAUUUCAUAAAUACGCAAUGUUUGGAUAUAUCCUCCAAUGGGUAGGUAACCGUACAACGAUAAAGUUAUCAUAUCAUUUCGGUGCAAAAUAAUAAAUGAGAAAAUGAGAAAAGUCAAUGGGUAUAGCCGUAUAGGUAAUGAGGGACAUGGGCUUUCUCUGUCUCUGGUGUUGUGUUAAACAGUCAGGCAGUUGAGAUUAAGAGUGUGGUAAGCAGAGAAGGAGAUGACGAAUAGAUGAUAAUGUUGCACAAGUGUUGAUUAUAAAUUAUUCAAUGCAAGUUUUGAAAUGUGGGAAAUAAAAAAGAGUCAGCGAGACAAGUGUAUUUGUAUGUGACAGGAAGCGAUGGAGUCCAAGUGGUUGAGUAGACUCGCAAAAAUGCUCAAUUUAGCCCUGGGCAUUUUAAUCUAGACCCGAAGACCCGAACCGGAACCGACCCAAGAAUAUCCGACCCGGAACCGAACCGAAAAUUUACAAGUACUUUUUGGGUAUAAAUAUUUUUUACCCGAAAGAACCGGAACCGAAAAAAAACCCGACUCGAAUAGACCCAGACCCGAAAAGAACCGAUCCGAAUAGACCCGACCCGAUAAGAACCGAUUUGUACCCGACUUAAAAACAUGUAUAUCUAAAACUAUGAUGUUUUUGUGUUCUAUUUUAUAUAUAUUAUUUUAUGAUUUAGUUGAAAUAUCUUUUGUUAACAACAUUUGUUAUUAUUUUUUAACAUUUAUUAAGUAAUAUAAAGCCUUAAAAUGUAAUAUUUAGAGUUUUUAAAUGUUUUAUUUUAAUUAUUAAUAGUUUUAUUUAAGUUGUUUUGUAAAAUUUUAGAUAUAUAUGACAAAUAUUCAACUAAAGUUGAUGGAAUUGGGUAUAUCAUGUCAUUUUCAGAUCCUAAUAUCCGAACCCGACCCGGACCUGGAUCCGAAAAAUUACGGAUAUUUUAUGGAUAUUUUAAUUAUAGAUCCGAACCGACCCGGAUCCGAGAAGAACCGAACCGAAAAUUUCUAAGUACCUAUUCGGUCUAAAUAUUUAGGACCCGAAAAAACUCGGAUCCGAAAGAAAGUGGUCCGAACCCGACCCGAAGACCCGAACGCCCAUGCCUAGCUCUAUUUAAGACACUUACCCUUCCCCUUCAACUUGAAGAUAACACACAAACAUUUAUUCAUCUAAAUAUCUGUGGAGAGAGAGAGAGGAAAAAGAGAAGAAGAAUAGGAUGGCCAUCUUCUGUUUCCUUGUAGACCAGAGGAAGCAGGUCCGGGGGAGGAAGCCGGCCGCCGGUUUAUGCUCAAGAUGCGGAGGAGAGCAGUGGUGGCUGAGAUGAAAACCUCUGCUAGAUUCUGUGGGGUCCCGUUUUACCGCAAAGCUUGGAAGGCCAUCGUCUGUCUAUCUUUAAAACUGAUGUGGUUGACUACUUUUGAGUUUCGGUGGCAGAUAUUCUAUUUCAUUGGGUUUGGAUUCUUCUGCCUGGAGUCACUCGUGAGCAUCUGGGUUAUUCAGGUUCCCUCCAUCCCUCCCAAAUCAAUCAAUUAAUUAUGUUUGGUUUUUUUCUUUUUGGAUAAGUAAAAUGCAAAAACAAAAUAAGGAAGGAAGAAGUAACUAAAGUUGUUUGUAUCGUGGGAACAGCAAGUGUACAUGUACUUCAGGGGGAGCGGUAAAGCAGCAGAGAUGAAGCAGGAGGCAACAAGACGAGCAAUGAUGGCAGCUCUCUGACCACACACCUUUGAGUCUUAACCCUGAAGAUAACAUACAAACAGAUCCUUUCCUUUUUCAAUCUUUUUUUUAACUUUAUUUAACUAAGCGGGGUUUAUUGGCUUUUGUAUUUUAAUGGAUUUGAAAAUCCGAACUAAAAUGUAACCAAAACUUUUGAUUUCUUUUUUAACCGUAUUCUGAUUACUUUAUUUAAAGAACCCCAAAAUUCUGAUUUCAUAAAUACGCAAUGUUUGGAUA